rnacentral:lncRNA from 1 species
CUUGCGAUCCAACAAUGCAGGGAGAAAUCAGGUAGAAAUCAGAGAUCUUCAAGCUAGCUAGAAAUGGGUAGGCAUUUUUCUGGUGGGUGCAUCGAGAUUGGCGGAGGUACCUCUGAGCUAGCUGUGGAAGAAGCAGGGGAGGCGGGGCUGGUGAGCGCGCCAAAUUGGAGCUGGAACCGCGGGUAGAUAUUUUGGAGAAGCAGCUAUGGUUAAACUUCUUAAUGAGCAGAUCUCGUCCAGACCCCCACACUGACCUUUUUGCCUUGGUUUGCGCACUGUCAGGCAUGGUUCAGCAAUGAAUCGUCAAAACUUCAGCCAGGAUGCAGGGGCUGUCUUUGGAACAUGGGAUCCAGAGCCUUCCAGGGUCGAUGCAGAUGAAUGAGUUAGCAAACUGCAAGAGGAGCGCAAGCGCAAAUAGUAUGAUUUAGUGCAGAUAUUUCAGAUGG